rnacentral:rRNA from 1 species
CCUACGGGCGGCAGCAGUGGGGAAUAUUGGGCAAUGGGCGCAAGCCUGACCCAGCAACGCCGCGUGAAGGAAGAAGGCUUUCGGGUUGUAAACUUCUUUUGACAGGGAAGAGUAGAAGACGGUACCUGUCGAAUAAGCCACGGCCAACUACGUGCCAGCAGCCGCGGUAAUACGUAGGUGGCAAGCGUUGUCCGGAUUUACUGGGGGUAAAGGGCGUGUAGCCGGGUUGACAAGUCAGAUGUGAAAUCCUGCGGCUUAACCGCAGAACUGCAUUUGAAACUGUUGAUCUUGAGUGCUGGAGAGGCAGGCGGAAUGCCUGGUGUAGCGGUGAAAUGCGUAGAUAUUAGGAAGAACACCGAUGGCGAAGGCGGUCUGCUGGACAGCAACUGACGGUGAGGCGCGAAAGCGUGGGGAGCGAACAGGAUUAGAUACCCCUGUAGUC